GUGAGGGGGGCUGCUCCUAGUACGAGAGGACCGGAGUGGACGCAUCACUGGUGUUCGGGUUGUCAUGCCAAUGGCACUGCCCGGUAGCUAAAUGCGGAAGAGAUAAGUGCUGAAAGCAUCUAAGCACGAAACUUGCCCCGAGAUGAGUUCUCCCUGACUCCUUGAGAGUCCUGAAGGAACGUUGAAGACGACGACGUUGAUAGGCCGGGUGUGUAAGCGCAGCGAUGCGUUGAGCUAACCGGUACUAAUGAACCGUGAGGCUUAACCUUACAACGCCGAAGCUGUU
rnacentral:rRNA from 1 species